UGGUCGGUGUACAGGUGGUGCAUGGCUGUCGUCAGCUCGUGUCGUGAGAUGUUGGGUUAAGUCCCGCAACGAGCGCAACCCUUGUCCCGUGUUGCCAGCAGGCCCUUGUGGUGCUGGGGACUCACGGGAGACCGCCGGGGUCAACUCGGAGGAAGGUGGGGACGACGUCAAGUCAUCAUGCCCCUUAUGUCUUGGGCUGCACACGUGCUACAAUGGCCGGUACAAUGAGCUGCGAUACCGCGAGGUGGAGCGAAUCUCAAAAAGCCGGUCUCAGUUCGGAUUGGGGUCUGCAACUCGACCCCAUGAAGUCGGAGUCGCUAGUAAUCGCAGAUCAGCAUUGCUGCGGUGAAUACGUUCCCGGGUCUUGUACACACCGA
rnacentral:rRNA from 1 species